GAUGAACGCUAGCUACAGGCUUAACACAUGCAAGUCGAGGGGCAGCAUGAACAAAGCUUGCUUUGUUUGAUGGCGACCGGCGCACGGGUGCGUAACACGUAUCCAAUCUGCCCGCGGCUCGGGGAUAGCCCAUCGAAAGAUGGAUUAAUACCCGAUGGCGUGGUCACCCCGCAUGGGGUUUCCACUAAAGGUUUUCCGGCCGCGGAUGAGGAUGCGUAUGAUUAGGUAGUAGGCGGGGUAACGGCCCACCUAGCCUUCGAUCAUUAGGGGUUCUGAGGGGAAGGUCCCCCACACUGGAACUGAGACACGGUCCAGACUCCUACGGGAGGCAGCAGUGAGGAAUAUUGGUCAAUGGGCGAGAGCCUGAACCAGCCAAGUAGCGUGAAGGAAGACUGCCCUAUGGGUUGUAAACUUCUUUUGUUCGGGAAUAAAGUGCAGUAUGUAUACUGUUUUGUAUGUACCGUUCGAAUAAGCAUCGGCUAAUUCCGUGCCAGCAGCCGCAGUAAUAC
rnacentral:rRNA from 1 species